rnacentral:misc_RNA from 1 species
UCUCCGAUGGUGAACCAGCGGAGGGAUCAUUACAGAGUUGCAAAACUCCCAAACCAUUGUGAACGUUACCUAUCCCGUUGCUUCGGCGGGCGGCCCGGGCCCCGCGCCCGGCGCCCCCCGGCCCCCCGUGGGCGCCCGCCGGAGGUAAACCAAACCCUUGAAUUGCAUGGCCUCUCUGAGUCUUCUGUACUGAAUAGGUCAAAACUUUCAACAACGGAUCUCUUGGUUCUG